AGUGAACGCUGGCGGUAGGCCUAACACAUGCAAGUCGAACGGCAGCACAGUAAGAGCUUGCUCUUACGGGUGGCGAGUGGCGGACGGGUGAGGAAUACAUCGGAAUCUACUUUUUCGUGGGGGAUAACGUAGGGAAACUUACGCUAAUACCGCAUACGACCUACGGGUGAAAGCAGGGGAUCUUCGGACCUUGCGCGAUUGAAUGAGCCGAUGUCGGAUUAGCUAGUUGGCGGGGUAAAGGCCCACCAAGGCGACGAUCCGUAGCUGGUCUGAGAGGAUGAUCAGCCACACUGUAACUGAGACACGGUCCAGACUCCUACGGGAGGCAGCAGUGGGGAAUAUUGGACAAUGGGCGCAAGCCUGAUCCAGCCAUACCGCGUGGGUGAAGAAGGCCUUCGGGUUGUAAAGCCCUUUUGUUGGGAAAGAAAAGCAGCAGGUUAAUACCCCGCUGUUCUGACGGUACCCAAAGAAUAAGCACCGGCUAACUUCGUG
rnacentral:rRNA from 1 species